AAGUCGUAACAAGGUUUCCGUAGGUGAACCUGCGGAAGGAUCAUUAUCGGGAGAACGGGGCCCCUCGCGGGCCCCAACCCCCUCAUCUCUGCCAUCUUUGAAACCCCCUACCCUCGGCUUGGUGGGAGGGCCCUGCUUUCGAGCUGCCCCGGACGCGGGGCAAAGGGGCUCCCCUGCCCGGCCGGCCGUAAUACUCUGUAGUAAAGCAUGAAGUCGGAUCUAUACAAGCUAAAGCGAAUAAAA
rnacentral:misc_RNA from 1 species